GUACUUUCUUCACUUGAGUAAAUUCUCAAUGAGGAAACCACAUCACGUCUUUGUCGUGAUUAUUUCUCCCCGUUUUUCAGAGAGGAAGAGAUAAUGCUGACAGAGAUUGCAGAGAAAAGACUCGCUGAGAGAGCUGAUACAACAAACUUCACGCCUUAUGCCGGUGAUAUUAAACCCGAUUCGGAUUCCAUCUGCUGCUUCCAUACUAUAAUAGCAGGAAUCUUUCACACAGACAAGAAUCCAAAAGGAAGACACAGUGUCACACCCUAUAGCCUAAACCAGAUCUACUAAAGGCACACACCUCAACUGACAAACAGCCAUUGAAUAUUUAGACACAAACAAGAGAAAAUCUGCAGACGCUGGAAAUCCAAGCAACACACACAAAAUGCUAGAGGAACUCAACAGACCAGGUGCUGUCUGUGUGGAGUGUGCACGAUCUCCUUGUGAUCGCAGCAGUUUCUCCCAGGUGCUCCGGGUUCCUUCCAUAUCGCAAAGAUGUGCAGGUUGGUAAGUUAAUUGUUGUAAAUUCCCCCUAAUGUGGUUAGUCUGGUUAAAUAUGGGGAAACUGAUGACGAUGUGGAAGAAUAAGUAGGAUGAGUGAGGCUUAUGGUUUAUGGUUGGCUUACAGUCAAUGGGUCAAAGGCUCUGUUUUUUGUGCUGUACCUCUCUGUGACUCUGAUCUGAAAACUGUGAAAAAACAAUGUUAGGGAUUCUAAGAUUAAAAAUAUAAGUCUUACAUUUCGAAACUAAAAUGACAAUUAAGAAAAUCUUGGCAAUAUUUACAAAUUAGUAGAAGCAUUAACCUAAAGCAAAAGACUUGUAAAAAUAGUGUUAUAAAGGUGACAGAUCCCAUUGAAAUGAAUGAAGCAUAAAAAUUCUGUAGCAGAUGUGCGGAAGUCAGGAUUUGAGAGACUGAUUUUCAGUAUAGUGCCAGGGAGAUUGCCAAGGUAUUGGACUCCAGUAAUGCAUUGCAUGCAGAGUCCCGCAAGAGAGCUUAGCAAUGAUGCAUGGCAUGUAUUGCUCAGUAACACCUAUUCUUGCAGCAAGUCUGAAGAAAAUCAGAACGUAUUUCUGUAGGAAUGGCUGAACAUCAGUAGUGCAGAAUCUUUGGCCAAGCGCAGAGUGAUUUGGUCCAGUUAUUUGUCCACCUUUAGUGGAUAAAGAAAAGGCAAUUCAUUUUGUUUAGAAAACCACUUGCAAACUUCCAUUCAAAGUCUAUGAAAUGGAGAUUUCAAAACCCUGCCCUUUCCAAACACACCAGUUAUCUUUGCAAACUGCUUAGGCAAUGGUUUAACAUGAGCAAAGCUGCAGCUGUUCUAUGGUAUUCCACAUUUAAAAUACAAGCUUGAGUUAAAGGUUGCAAUCUCAUUUUAAGAGUUCAGAUAAUGGACAAGGUUUCCGAUUUAAUUCAAAAACUUCAAUUAGAUUAAAACUUCUGCCACACGUUUUCAAGUAUUCAUUGAAUUUUAUCAAUAAAAUAAUAUUUCCUCAGAUGACAUGCCUAUGCAGCUUUAUUAUUGAUCUUGGUUUCCUGAUGUUUGCAAGUCUGGGUGGUAUGCAAUAAUGUAUUUUUGUAAUUUUCAACUGAAUUACAAUGUCAAGUCACACUUGACAAUUAAGUACUUGUAAUUUAAAAUUCAUGUGGUAAUCUAUAUU